AUUCUUGUAGCUCAGUGGUAGAGCAUUCCGCUCAUAACGGAUUGGUCAUGGGUUCAAUUCCUAUCAAGAAUACC
rnacentral:tRNA from 1 species